rnacentral:lncRNA from 1 species
GCAGAGAAAGACAAAGAAUUUCAGUUCAAUUUUGGUCCUCAACUCCGUGCCGGCCCCAGUACAACAGGUAUCUAGCUAAUUCAUACAUACAUAUAUACUUCCAUCUUGAAUUGCUAAUAAAAAAUAAAUUUACCUGUUCAGCUCCUUCUUCUCCUCAACAACUUGAACAACAAGACAAUGUUCCACAGUCACCAAUUCAUGGUGUAACUGUGACUGAAAUUGUCGAAGAAUGCAUUGAAAAAGAAGAGGAUAUUGGAGUGAUGUGUGGAGGAAUUGAAAAUAAAGGUGUGACACUGGACGAUUUUGAAAUUACAGAAAACCUAUCACAAAUUGUCAUGUAUGGUGACCCAAUUCAAGU